rnacentral:rRNA from 1 species
GGAGGGUGCAAGCGUUGUUCGGAAUCACUGGGCGUAAAGGGCGUGUAGGCGGUCCGCUAAGUCUGAUGUGAAAGCCCGGGGCUCACCCCCGGAAGGGCAUUGGAAACUGGCGGACUCGAGUCCCGGAGAGGAAGGUGGAAUUCCUGGUGUAGCGGUGAAAUGCGUAGAUAUCAGGAGGAAUACCGGUGGCGAAGGCGGCCUUCUAGACGGUGACUGACGCUGAGACGCGAAAGCGUGGGGAGCAAACAGGAUUAGAUACCCUGGUAGUCCACGCUGUAAACGAUGAGCACUAGGUGUCGUGGGUAUUGACCCCCGCGGUGCCGACGCUAACGCAUUAAGUGCUCCGCCUGGGGACUACGGCCGCAAGGUUA